rnacentral:rRNA from 1 species
UGCCAGCAGCCGCGGUAAUACGAAUGGUGCAAGCGUUGUUCGGAAUCACUGGGCAUAAAGCGCGCGUAGGCGGCGAUGUGUGUCAGUUGUGAAAUCCCCCGGCUCAACCGAGGAACUGCAACUGAAACUGCAUUGCUAGAGUGCGGGAGGGGAGAACGGAAUUCCUGGUGGAGCGGUGAAAUGCAUAGAUAUCAGGAGGAACGCCGGAGGCGAAAGCGGUUCUCUGGCCCGUCACUGACGCUGAGGUGCGAAAGCUAGGGGAGCAAACAGGAUUAGAUA